AGUAACGCGUGAGUAACCUGCCUUACACAAGGGGAUAGCCUCUGGAAACGGAGAAUAAUACCCUAUGAAACUAUCUUAUCGCAUGAAAAGAUAGUCAAAGUGUUUUAGCGGUGUAAGAUGGACUUGCGUCUGAUUAGCUAGUUGGUGAGAUAACAGCCCACCAAGGCAACGAUCAGUAGCCGGCUUGAGAGAGUGUACGGCCACAUUGGGACUGAGAUACGGCCCAG
rnacentral:rRNA from 1 species